CCCUUAGAUGUCCUGGGCCGCACGCGCGUUACACUGAUGCAUUCAACGAGCUUAUAACCUUGGCCGAGAGGCCUGGGCAAUCUUGUUAACGUGCAUCGUGAUAGGGAUAGAUUAUUGAAAUUAUUAAUCUUGAACGAGGAAUUCCUAGUAAACGCAGAUCAUCAAUCUGCAUUGAUUACGUCCCUGCCCUUUGUACACACCGCCCGUCGCACCUACCGAUUGGAUGGUCCGGUGAAGCCUCGGGAUUGUGGUUCUUGCCGCUUUAUUGUGGCGUGACCGCGAGAACUUGUCUAAACCUCAUCAUUUAGAGGAAGGUGAAGUCGUAACA
rnacentral:rRNA from 1 species